AGAGUUUGAUCCUGGCUCAGCGGCGGACGGGUGAGUAACGCGUGGGAACGUGCCCUCUGGUUCGGAAUAACUCAGGGAAACUUGAGCUAAUACCGGAUACGCCCUUUUGGGGAAAGGCUUGCUGCCGGAGGAUCGGCCCGCGUCUGAUUAGCUAGUUGGUGAGGUAACGGCUCACCAAGGCGACGAUCAGUAGCUGGUCUGAGAGGAUGAUCAGCCACACUGGGACUGAGACACGGCCCAGACUCUCUACGGGAGGCAGCAGUGGGGAAUAUUGGACAAUGGCGCAAGCCUGAUCCANCCAUGCCGCGUGAGUGAUGAAGGCCUUAGGGGANUAAAGCUCUUUUAUCCNUCUCGAUAAUAGGAAUACCGGAGGAAUAAACCCCCGCUU
rnacentral:rRNA from 1 species